AGGAUGGGUGGGGUCUGAGCCAAGGAUCUGUUGAGGCCCAUCUCCUCUGCAGAGUCUGCGCAUGUGCUGUGUGUGUGUGUGCGUGCGUGCGUGUGUGUGUGUGUGCACGCGCAUGUGAGCUCACCACCUCUACUGAGUGGACACAGGUUGCAGAUCCAGAGGUCAGAGGCUGCUUGCUGUGCCCUUCCUGGUGUCCCUGGGAACCAAGAGGAUCAAGAGCAGGCUCUCUCCAGUCCCCAUGACUGUCUUCCCCAGCUGUAUUCAGAAGGCCGUGGAUGUCUCCUCAGCAACCCCCCAACCCUGCGUCCUUCUCAUCAGAUGUCCUGGUGAGUAUUCUUUUCGAGAUGUUUCUUGAAUGAAUGAAUGAAGUGUGAGAAUGCUCACGGUUGCCUGGGGAAGGAGAGGUUAUUUGAAACAGGCUUAGCGUACAACAUGUGGGGCAGGGCGUGGAGCCACUCUGGGUAGUGUGUGUGUGUGUUUACAUGUGGGUGUGAAAGGUGGAGGGAAAAAAUUAGGCAGCAACUCCCCUGUAGCUGGUGUGUCCUGAGCCUGAGCUUUCCCAGGCAGAGAUCUCAGUCUCCCCGUUUAUCCUUCCGGCCAGGGGGUGGGGUGGGGGCUGG
rnacentral:lncRNA from 1 species